GACGAACGCUGGCGGCGUGCUUAACACAUGCAAGUCGAACGGAAAGGCCCUGCUUUUGUGGGGUGCUCGAGUGGCGAAAGGGUGAGUAACACGUGAGUAACCUGCCCUUGACUUUGGGAUAACUUCAGGAAACUGGGGCUCUUAUCGGAUAGGAGCUCCUGCUGCAUGGUGGGGGUUGGAAAGAUUCGGCGGUUGGGGAUGGACUCGCGGUUUAUCAUCUUGUUGGUGGGGUAGUGGCUUACCAAGGCUUUGACGGGUAGCCGGCCUGAGAGGGUGACCGGCCACAUUGGGACUGAGAUGCGACCCAGACUCCUACGGGGGGCAUCAGUGGGGAAUAUUGCACGAUGGGCGGAAGCCUUAUGCAGCAACGCCGCGUGCUGGAUGACGGCCUUCGGGUUGUAAACCGCUUUCGCCUGUGACGAAGCGUGAGUGACGGUAAUGGGUAAAGAAGCACCGGCUAACUACGUG
rnacentral:rRNA from 1 species